AAGGCUCCGGUUCACCCCACGGGGACCCGGCGGCC
rfam:Kutzneria sp. 744 genomic scaffold supercont1.1, whole genome shotgun sequence.